rnacentral:lncRNA from 1 species
AGAAAUCUCUUCAUUGAUUAUAUGAUCAAGAAAAUCUUAUCAUUAUCAUUAUUUUCACUGGAUAAAUAUGGAAUAAUUCAAACUCAACUAUGGAAAUACUAGGGAAACAAGGUUUGAUCUUAGUCAACAUAAAGCAGUGAAACCAAAAGAAAAAAGAAUCACAUCACUGAUGGGUUCCUAAAGAAAACGUAAGAAUGUGCCUUUUGAGAACACUCUAAGUCAUCACUUUUGAGACAACACCAGCUCCAACUGUUCUACCUCCUUCCCUCAGAGCAAACCUUUGACCUGUUUUGAGAAAUAGCGAUAGCAAAUCAGAAACUGAAACAGUUGAAACACAAAAAGGGAAGAGUGUCUGAAAGAUUCUUGACCUAUUUCGAGUGGGACAGGCAUGAUAAGCUCGAAAACUGCAGUGACAUUGUCACCAGGCAUAACCAUCUUCACGUCUUGUGGUAACUCUACUCUUCCCGUGAUAUCUGCAGUCCUCAAGUAAAACUGAGGCCUGUAGUUGGAGAGAAAAGCAGUGUGACGUCCACCUUCGUCCUUUGUGAGCACGUAAAUCUCCGCUUCAAACUUCUUGUAUGUCUUGCAUGAGCCAGGCUUAGCAAUUACCUAAUAAGCAAAAGCAUUAGUGUGCUCACAUUCAAUCAUCCACUAGUCAAAAUAAGGAUGCAUAAGCUUACCAUUCCACGCUGGAUGUCUUCUCUCUUUAGCCCACGAAGAAGAAGUCCUACAUUAUCACCGGCCUAACAUAAUGAAAGCCAAAGUUUAAUCAAGCAUGCCUAGAACCUGUCUUUGUAAUCUCUCGAUGGUGCCUUUACCUGUCCAUUAUCCAAAAUCUUCUUGAACAUCUCGACCCCAGUUACAGUGGAUUUCAUUGGAGGUCCCUGGAAAUCAAAUCAAGAAAAUGCUUAACUGUAAUCAUUACUUUGGUUGAAUAAACGCAGUAUUCAUACACACUCACGUCUUUUAAACCCAAUAUCUCGACUUCUUCACCCACUUUGAUGACUCCUUGUUCAAUCCGACCCGUUGCAACAGUUCCACGUCCCUUUAAGAAGAAGAAAACUAUCAGAACUUAUUUUCCGAAACAAGUGAGUGAAUGGAGAAAACGCCAAGGAUGCAGAUUAGUAUACCUGAAUCGAGAAAACAUCUUCAAUUGGCAUCAAGAAAGGCUUGUCCAGCACACGAACAGGGUCUGGUAUGUAUUCAUCAACAGCAUCCAUUAGCUUCAAUAUAGCUUGCCUUCCUAUUUCAUCGUUUGUUUAUUCUUGUUUUGUUUACAGGUCAUCAAAUUUGUGAAAAAGCAUGUUGGUAAUGAAAAUCCACAAUUAGCUGGAACUCUGUUUACGUUGAUUUCCUUUUCUUAAAGGUAUCUCGAAAGUUUUGAUUGUAAUCUGAACAAUUGCAUGUUGAUGAUUGUAACCAAUAUAUAAUGUGUGUGUGUUUACAGAAGUACAUGCCAGAUUUGGCUGCUCUUUUCCCUCAUGUACUUGUCGAUGUCAGUAGUGUCAAGUCUUUAUGCACCCGAUGGUUUCCCAGAGGUAAAAACAAAUAUUUAAAAGAAAAAAUUAUUUGAAAACAUAAAAGUUGCCUUGUGUAUGACAAUGAUACUUGUUUGGUUUGUUGAGCAUUAGAAAAAAACAGAGCUCCUGCAAAGAAAAACAAUCACAGAGCCAUGGAUGAUAUAAGAGAAAGCAUCAAGGAGCUUAAGUACUACAAAGAAACCAUAUUUAAAGCAAACAAAGGUAAGAUGUGAGGUGAGGUGAGAUUCGAGUGAAAGGGGAUAUUGAGAUUGUCGUUUAGGAGUCAUUCUCUUGAAUGUUUUGGUAUUAUGAAACCUAGUGACAUGAUCUUUAGUUAUUGAGACAUGUGUGUACUAAACUUUGUUAUCUUAAUCUAAACCAAACUAGUCACAUUGAUGAUCUUUAGUUAUUGAUGAUCUUUUGCCACAUUGAGAUUCCCUUUUCUCCCAGCCUUCACAUUCUCAAGGCUCAUCUGAUUUUAUGUAAUUACCAUAGAUUAGGCAUUGAUCGCAGCUGGCUGGCUGCUCCUUUCUUCUCAGUAACAUGAUGUUCCUGUAAAUUGAUCACCAUAUGCGUCAUGAUUUUUAAUACAGUUUAAACUUACUAUGUGACUUUUUCAUGGUCAUGCACAAGUAUAAACUACAAAAUCAUUAAAUUAUAAUUAGUUAAUGUGCCAUUUCCACUUAUUGAUAAAUUUUAAAUCUUUUUUAUAAUUUAUAUGUAGGAAAAGUAAAUAGAAUAUUGUGUAAAUUAAAUUAUGUUGUUAUCUUAGUUAACUAUGUGAUUAUGUAUAAUUCAGAUUGAUUCAGUUUUUCAUUUUCAAUAUAUUGGAUUGGUAAAAUAGUAAAUAGUUAAUGUUUUGCGCAGAGAACUAAUGUUUUGUAAGAAAUCUCUUCAUUGAUUAUAUGAUCAAGAAAAUCUUAUCAUUAUCAUUAUUUUCACUGGAUAAAUAUGGAAUAAUUCAAACUCAACUAUGGAAAUACUAGGGAAACAAGGUUUGAUCUUAGUCAACAUAAAGCAGUGAAACCAAAAGAAAAAAGAAUCACAUCACUGAUGGGUUCCUAAAGAAAACGUAAGAAUGUGCCUUUUGAGAACACUCUAAGUCAUCAC